AGAUGAUGUUGAAGUGAAAGACAAAAAUUUUCAGUAGAUUUUAGUUAAAAUCAUCGUCAUAUGUUUAUUUUGAUUCUUUAAUAAAUGGUAAACAGAUAACUUCCAUCAUCCAUUACAAAGCAUAGCCAGAGGGUUUAUGUGGUAUCCUCGAGUUUAAAUCAUUCUGGUGACAGCAUUUUGUUACAGAUAUAGAUUCAUGACAUGUUGAACUUUUUAGCUUUGAAUGAACAGUACGU
rnacentral:misc_RNA from 1 species